rnacentral:rRNA from 1 species
GACGAACGCUGGCGGCGUGCUUAACACAUGCAAGUCGAACGGAAAGGCCCUGCCUGCAGGGUACUCGAGUGGCGAACGGGUGAGUAACACGUGGGUGAUCUGUCCUGCACUUCGGGAUAAGCCUGGGAAACUGGGUCUAAUACCGGAUAGGAGCCAUUUUUAGUGUGAUGGUUGGAAAGUUUUUUCGGUGUAGGAUGAGCUCGCGGCCUAUAAGCUUGUUGGUGGGGUAAUGGCCUACCAAGGCGGCGACGGGUAGCCGGCCUGAGAGGGUGGACGGCCACAUUGGGACUGAGAUACGGCCCAGACUCCUACGGGAGGCAGCAGUGGGGAAUAUUGCACAAUGGGCGCAAGCCUGAUGCAGCGACGCCGCGUGGGGGAUGACGGCCUUCGGGUUGUAAACUCCUUUCGCUAGGGACGAAGCUUUUUGUGACGGUACCUAGAUAAGAAGCACCGGCUAACUACGUG